GUGCUCACUUUGGCAGCUCACAUAUUAAAAUUGGACCGAUACAGAAAAGAUUAGCAUCGCCCCUAUGCAAGGAUGAUAACACAAAUUUGGGCCCACCAUAUGGUC